rnacentral:rRNA from 1 species
GAUGAACGCUGGCAGCGUGCCUAAUACAUGCAAGUAGAACGCUGAAGGAGGAGCUUGCUCUUCUGGAUGAGUUGCGAACGGGUGAGUAACGCGUAGGUAACCUGCCUGGUAGCGGGGGAUAACUAUUGGAAACGAUAGCUAAUACCGCAUGACAACAGUUAUUGCAUGAUAACUGUUUAAAAGGGGCAACUGCUCCACUACCAGAUGGACCUGCGUUGUAUUAGCUAGUUGGUGAGGUAACGGCUCACCAAGGCGACGAUACAUAGCCGACCUGAGAGGGUGAUCGGCCACACUGGGACUGAGACACGGCCCAGACUCCUACGGGAGGCAGCAGUAGGGAAUCUUCGGCAAUGGACGGAAGUCUGACCGAGCAACGCCGCGUGAGUGAAGAAGGUUUUCGGAUCGUAAAGCUCUGUUGUAAGAGAAGAACGAGUGUGAGAGUGGAAAGUUCACACUGUGACGGUAUCUUACCAGAAAGGGACGGCUAACUACGUG